GAGGGAAGACCAAACAUCACUUCGGAAGCAUCAGAAUUUUGAAAAUAUUAAUCUAGAGAAUGUCUCCCUGCCCAAGAAAUUUCACAAAGCCACCAAUCUGAAUCAUCAUCACAGAUGAAGCUGAAAGGACCACAGUCAUUGAGCAGGGAAUUGAAGGAAGAGAAAGGACAAUCUCAGGUUUAAGGCCUCAAUACCUCAUGGAACCAUAAUCUGAAUAUGAAGUAAUGAUGGGUGACACUCAGGAUUUCAAGACCCCAUUCAAACAAAAUUAAGCUUCUAUGAAACUGCUUUGUCUGCAAAAAUAGAACUGGAAGCAGCAGGAAAACAUCUGGUUUCAUAAUAUUUUGCCAUUGUCUCUGGCCCUAGCCAGUACCCAGAAAUGCUGAAUCAAGUAAAAUAGUAUGCAUUGCUAAUUCAUUUUUCAAACCUCUGAAAAGGAUCAGAUUGAAGUGGGUGUGAAUGUUAGGAAAGAGAGGCAGGUAGAAGUCUAAGAGCAGGGUUUUUUUAAUCUGAAUAGAGUUCUCUCAUUUCUUAGGAAAUUUUAUGCCUAGUAUUAUUUGCCUUUUGAGCCUAAUUGGUUCCCCUGAAGUCAGUGAUGGAUCAGGCAUAUCUUUUUGAGUUUGUAUUGUUUGGCACCAGAGAAGAAGAUAGGGCAAAUUGGCUUCUAUCUAACUUGCUAAUGAUUAUUGGAUAUGCUCCCAUUCUCUCUAAGUUGUUUUCCAUUUGAGAGUUAUUCUUCUUAGAAUCGGAGAUUCCAAAUUGGCCAAUUCAGUUUCCUUUUCUGUAGAUUGAGGCAGCAGCUGCCCUGAAUUCAAAUUUUUCUCUGGAUUUUUGAUACAGUGGUUUCAUAAACAGGUAAUUUAGGACUAUGGCAUCUAGCAGUCAGCAGGCUUGUGAAUUCUUCUUAGUUGGAGAUCCCAUUUCCUUUUACUUAUAACUGUGUUGAAGUUUUGCCAGGGACUGUACCUUUUAUUAGACCAAGUCAAAUAGUUGGUCUAAUAAAAGAUAUCAGAUUUACCCAAAGCACCUUGUCUGCCUAUGUCCUUAGACCAACACAGUUACAACCUAUACUCCAGGGUCUGGGGAGCCCCUCUAGCUCCUGUGGGACGCUCCAUCCAUUCCACCAUCGCAGCAUUUAUGAGCUGGCUGGUACCUUGAGGUAUGUAGAAAAACAUUUAAAGCUGUGUCUAUGUCUGAAUCACAGAAUCUUUCCAAAUCUCUCCAAAUCGAUUUGGAGGGUUCUGAUUUGAUUCGGAGAGAUUAAAGGGUCUCCUGAUUCAAGUCAGAGUCAGAGAUUCGGCCACUGAAUAGGGCUGAAUCUCUGCCAAAUUGAAUUGGGGACCGAAGCUUCGCACAGCCCUACUGGGGUGGUGCAUGUCACAAGUUCAAGGCCAUAGCACAAGUGCUCAUGGCAUGGCCCUGUCAGAUUCCAACGAAACUGCAAAUUCUGCUAAAAUACCUUGUCACAAGGUCAUGAAAAAGGAAGUUUAUUUACACAUAAAGCCAUGGUCAUGCAGAGGUGUCAUAAAAACACCACAGGGAAAAAUGGUGUUUUAAUUGAUCUAUUACCAAAUAAAACUGGCCUCUAAGUCUUCUGUAGCAGAAUGGGAACCUGCCCCUUGGUGGGCUACAUAUCAGUUUAAUGAUAUGGCUUUUCUUUAGUAAUUCAUCACUCAAACAAAAACCAAACAAAUGAGGGGUAAAAAACAAGAGUUCAAUGUCUUGUAAUAAGCUCCCUCUGUUGUGGCAGCAGCUGCAGUUUCUCCUCUCAGAUUUCUUUUCUCUUGUUAGUCUGAAAGAAUCAGCAGCUGCUUAGGAAAUAUUCCAAAACAAAUUCAUUGAGAAGUUCCUGGUUCCUUUGCAGAUACUUGCUAGACAAAAUUAAGCUUCUGUGGUAGGGAAACAGAGACUGUAUCUUUAUUUUUGUAGACAGUCAAAUUCUGGCAAUCUGCUUGUUUAAAAAUAAACAACAACACAUCAAGAAUUAACUCAACAGGUCUAGAAGGUGUUAGAAGAUUCAGAAACCAGUUGUUCAGGGCAAAAAAGGGACAGAUUAUUUGCUUAAAUUACUUUAAGGGUCAUAUUUAAUCAAUUUUAAAUCCUUUGCUAAACCAUGCUGCUUUCCAUCUGGGAGUUUGUGGGAAUUGUGGUGCAUGUGACAUCAAUGCAAGAAUUUAUUUGAAAAAAGUGGGAUUCAGAAUGGUCUAAAACAGCCUUAACUUCAGGAUGAAUUAACGAUUGAGAACUGGUUCUGAUAACGUCAUGAUAAUUUUAGUUGGUGUUUUAUUGAUUGAGUUGUAAUUUGGUAUUGUGCUGGAAAAUUUUAGCCUAGUAUUAUGUCUACUCACAUACUGUGCUGUUAUUAAAAGCCAUUGGCAAGGGUGUAUUUAUGAUGUCUUUUAUUGGACCAGUGGCAUAGUUGGGAAAGAUGUUGAAUUGCUUUUGGGCACAAAGAGCUUUUUAAGCCAUUGUUGUUUUUCUCAAUUAGUUGCAGCUCUUCAAUUAUGAUUUCUAAACAGAAACCUUUCUCCAUGUACUGAAGGAUCUGAUAAUACAAAGACCAUACCUAACCACAAACUGGGAAGCCUCUAAAGAAUCUCUGUUACACAAGAAGAAGAGUAGGUAGCAUUGUUAUGGAUCAUGACUACCAUGACACCUAGGAACAGUCAACCUGGAGAGAGAGAGAGAGAGAGAGAGAGAGAAGGAUGUAGUACUUCUGGCAGCCAAGCUAGUUUAGUUGAAGGUAGCCUAGGUAUCUUUUUACUGGGUCCAUACAGGCAUGCACCAAGUUCUACACAAAUUCAUUUCCCUGCUGUGUGGGGUUCAGUUUAUAAUAACUCAAUUCAAAUGUCAACUUAACCCAAAAUAAGACUUUGUUGCACUACACAAACCAUGUGUGUCUAGGGGCUUUGUCCCCCAUCCUCUCAAACUAGAGAUGUGGGAUUCCAAAAUGUCUUUUAUAUCUACGUUCUGUUUUCAACAGAUCUGUUGCAGUCAAAUAAAAGAUGCCAGAUACUAGUGAAAAUAGACCCUGGGGCAAGUCACCUCUCUGACAGAUGUAGAUACUGCAGUUAGCAGGAGAUCCUGCUUCACUUUCUUUGGUUCUACUCAAAAUUCCCUCCUGAGGGGUUGCUUGUUCUGUCACUCUGGGAAGGGAACCCCUCCCCCCCCCCCCCCCCCCCAAAACAAAAAAUUGUGCCCAUGGUGCCCAGUACUCCCAGGUGCUGUAUGUUAGGCCAUAUGAACUCUAAAGAAUGUGAUAACAGAAUAACUGAGAUUUUGCCACUGGCUACUUGGUCGGUUAUUUUUAGGCAAUGGAAAAAUCCCAACUCUUCCUCCCCCUGUCAUAUUGAAAUGAAUUGAACAGCCUGAAACCUUAUAACUCUGUGUAAAUCAGCACAGCUGUAUUCUAAGAAGGCAUAUGAGUUUGUGCACACACGGUGCUCCUUUGUAAAUUAUUUUGACAAAAAUAAAAGGAUGAUUUGAAAACAG